CUCCCCCAACAACACGCUGCCUAUCCCCAAGAAGGCCAGCGUUGAAACUAGGACCAUGUCUGACAGCCCCACCACAGGUUCAGCCAAUCAGAUGCCAGAGCACUAUGGCAGCAUUUGGUCCGGAGGUGGGAGCAGUGGCUACGGUUACAACACUAACCCCAAUAACCUGUCGGCUACCUCCACCCUUUACUCAUCAGGAGUUCAGAACAACCUGACCCUCAGCUCCCCAUCGAUGAACGGUGGACUCUCUGCUGGCAGCACUG